UACGUAGGGUGCGAGCGUUGUCCGGAAUUAUUGGGCGUAAAGGGCUCGUAGGCGGUUUGUCGCGUCGGGAGUGAAAACUCAGGGCUUAACCCUGAGCCUGCUCCCGAUACGGGCAGACUAGAGGUAUGCAGGGGAGAACGGAAUUCCUGGUGUAGCGGUGAAAUGCGCAGAUAUCAGGAGGAACACCGGUGGCGAAGGCGGUCUCUGGGCAUUACCUGACGCUGAGGAGCGAAAGUGUGGGGAGCGAACAGG
rnacentral:rRNA from 1 species